AUAGGCAAACUCCGGCCCUCCAGAUGUUUGGGACUACAAUUCCCAUCAUCCCAGACCUGUUAGCUAGGGAUGAUGGGAAUUGUAGUCCCAAACAUCUGGAGGGCCGGAGUUUGCCUAU
rnacentral:miRNA from 1 species